AUUGAACGCUGGCGGCAGGCCUAACACAUGCAAGUCGAACGAGUGGCGGACGGGUGAGUAAUGUCUGGGAAACUGCCUGAUGGAGGGGGAUAACUACUGGAAACGGUAGCUAAUACCGCAUACCAUCAGAUGUGCCCAGUUGGGAUUAGCUCGUUGGGGGGGUAACGGCUCACCAAGGCGACGAUCCUUAGCUGGUCUGAGAGGAUGACCAGCCACACUGGGACUGAGACACAGUCCAGACUCAUACGGGAGGCAGCAAUGGGAAAUAUUGCACAAUGUGCGCAAGCCUGAUGCAGCCAUGCCGAGAGUAUGAAGAAGGCCUUCGGGUUGUAAAAUACUUUCAGCGGAGAGGCGUGACCCGCGGAAGAAGCACCGGCUAACUCCGUGCCAGCCGCCGCGGUAAUAA
rnacentral:rRNA from 1 species